GAUCCUGGCUCAGGACGAACGCUGGCGGCGCGCCUAACACAUGCAAGUCGAACGGAGAAUGCAAGACAGAAGCUUUCGGGCGGAAGACCUGUAUUCUUAGUGGCGGACGGGUGAGUAACACGUGAGCAACCUACCUUCAAGAGGGGGAUAGCACCUGGAAACGGGUGGUAAUACCGCAUAAGACCACGGAGCCGCAUGGCUUUGGGGUCAAAGGAGCAAUCCGCUUGAAGAUGGGCUCGCGUCCGAUUAG
rnacentral:rRNA from 1 species